AGUGGUGGUUGCCAGGGGCUGGAGGAGGAGGAGGAGACAGCAGUUAGUGUUUAAUGGGUACUGAGUUGAAAUUUCGCCCGUGAGAGUAGGAGAAAGACCCCGGCGGGCACACCAGCCUGUGGCCAGGGCAGCACAGCCAGCCAGAGAGGGAGCUCUGGGUGCCCGGCCCCGCCUCUCAUCUUGGACAUGGAGCAGGUCGCAGCCUGAGUCAAUGCCACCCUGCGGUGCAGAGAUGAAAGAGAAACCGAGAUUCAGAGGUAAAGUGACGUGUUCAAGAUCAUCCAACCGACGUGAGUUCUGGAGCUGUUGCAGCCAUCUUGUGACCAGGAGACUUCAAACAUAAGGAUGAAAACCAAUAAGUUAAGGAUGUCCAAGAAGACAGGUUGGAAUUCUGGGUUCGUGGUGACAUUAUUGAGACCUGAACCACCACUUCAAUCACCUUAACCACCCACCACCCACCGCUAUUUGUUCAAGGGCUAAGUUCAGGCCAAUGGUUCUCAAAGUGUGGUACCUGCUUGAACAUCAUCAUCAGGAUCACAAAGGAAUUUGUCAGAAAAGCACAUUCUUGCCCUUCCCCCCACCACAUGGAUCUGCUCAAUCAAAAACUCUGAGUGGUCUGGGUUUUUAACAAACCGUCUGAGUGAUUCUUUUUUUUUUUUUUUUAAAGAUUUUAUUUAUUUAUUUGACAGAGAGAGAGAUAGCGAGAGCAGGAACACAAGCAGGGGGAGUGGGAGAGGGAGAAGCAGGCUUCCUGCCGAGCAGGGACCCCGAUGUGGGGCUUGAUCCCAGGACCCCAGGAUCAUGACCUGAGCCGAAGGCAGGCACCCAACGACUGAGCCACCCAGGCGCCCUCCGUCUGAGUGAUUCUGAUGCACACUGAUAUUUAGGAACCAUUGGCCAAGGGCCUUGUUAAUCCAGAACUUGUUGACUUGCAUCUGAGUGCAAGUCUCCUUGAUAUUACAUCUCUGAGCUUCGGCUCAAAGCUUUUUCUCUGCCUAGAAUGCCCAAUUUCCUCCUUUUCUGCCAGUCUUUUUUAUUAAGUGAAUUAAUUUUAAUCAUAGAAACCCAGAAUGGCAGAAAAUUCAGCUGUUGCAAUUUGGCAAGGUGCAUGAUUAUUUUUCAGAUUAGGCCUCGACCAUCUCAGAGGGCUGGAGAAAAGCAAAAAGCUAUAAAAUUGUUCCAUUAAAAAAAAAAUAUCCAGCUUCAGCUGGAAAACCCAGAAUUGGUGUUUCUCUCUCUCUCUCUCUCUCUCUCUCUUUUUCUACAUUAGACCAGAAGGAGUGAUCAGCGAGCCCCAGUAUCCUGACCUUCAGUGAUCAUGGUCCCUGUGGUCCCCCCUCCUGAUAGGGCCACAGUCAGAGACUGGAGCUUGUCCACUGUGGCCGCCAGUAUGUGGGGGGAGAUGUUUUAGUUAGACUCUGCUGCAUAACAAACCACACCAGAUCUUGGUAGCUUAGACAAUUUAUGUUUCCCCUGGUUCUGUAAUUGACUGGACAAUACCACUGUGGCUGUGUCUGGGGUCAGCAGAAGGUCAGCUGGGGCCUGGGUCCAUCUGGGGUGGUGGUGACACCAGAUCCUUCUCUCUCCACAUGGUCUUUCAGCCCAGACUUCUUCAAGGCCUGGUGGGCACAGGGCACAGUCCCAAGAGGGCCAAGACAGAAGCUCAAAGGCCUGAGACUCCUACAUCUGUACUUCUGGCAGAUUCUGUUGGUGGGAGCAAGUCCCAAGGUCAACUUACAUGCAGGAGGAUGGAUUACCAGGCUCCAUCCCUGCUGGGAGACAGGGCAGUCAUGCAGAGAAGUGGGCAUCCUGGCCUGGGAGGAAUUUGCAGCCUCUAAAGAAUGCCCACAUCUGUCUUCCAGCCACAAAUGAUUCACUUUCCUUCCUCAGCAGGUUAUGUGUAGCCUGCUCCCAAGACCUUCAAGGUUUCCUCCAGUGCAACACCAGGUUCAGCAUCUGGAGUCUUGUGGUCUAGGUCAGGUCCGGAUGUGGAUGGUGCUCCCCUUCACCCCGGGCAACUGAUCUACCCUCACACACCAGUUAUGCAAUGGUGAGACAAGAUAGACUAUUUCGUUUUGAAAAGGGAGGGACAGUAGACACAUGGUGAUCGCUGGUCCGUAACAAUUCUGAAAUCCAGCCAGGUGCUUGUGAUCAAGUUCCUCUGCUCUGGGGAGAAAAGACAUUCCCUGAUUAGGGCCUGGUUCUGCCCCUGGGGGUGGCCUUGAGUCCAUCAUUCCCUUUGGCUGUUGGCUCCAACCCUGGGCUCUGCUGUCUAAGAGAUUCUCCUUGUCCAGGAGAACUAUUUGCACUGAGUAGCUUUCUUGGCUUGCUUCCUGUUUGUGAAAUUCAGAGGAUUCUUUUCGUUUUGAACUAUUUCAGUUCUUCUUAGUCCAAACUAGGGGUACUCUGGUUAAUAUGAUUAUCUCAAAUGUUAUGGGUUUCUUAUGAAUCAUACGUGGGGAUACUCAAUGCCCCAGAAGCCACAUCAUUCUUUUUGAGACAGAUCUCUCUCUACCUUGGGUGCACCACAGUUCAGCACUUGUAAGAGUCUUAGAAACCCUUUUCUACAGCUGAGAAGGCUUCACAGCAGUGCCUUUGACCAUUUUGAGGUCUUAGUAAAGGGUCUUACAGGGGCACCUGGGGGGCUCAGUCGGUUAAGCAUCUGACUCCUGGUUUUGGCUCAGAUCAUGAUCUCAGGGUUGUGAGAUUGAGCCCCAUGUCGGACUCCAUGCUCAGUGGGGAGUCUGCUUGAGAGUCCCUCUCCCUCUGCCCCUCCUCCUGUUCUCUCUCUCUCAAAUAAAUAAAUAUAACUUUAAAAAAAAAAGGGUCUUACAGUCACAUCCUUGAUUUAUUUUUACCCUGAGGCCAUUUUGUACUCUGAGACUCCUUUACCAGGAGAGACUAGGGAUAAGAAAUGGUUUUAUUGGGGUGUCGGGGUGGCUCAGUCAGUAAAGCGUCCAACUCUUGAUUUCAGCUCAGGUCAUGAUCUCAGGUUUGUGGGAUUGAGCCCCACGUCGGGCUCCGUGCUCAGUGGGGAGUCUGGGAUGGUCUCUCUCCCUCUCCCUCUGCCCCCCCCACCCCCCGCUCAUGUUCUCUCUUUCUCUAAAAUAAAUUCAAAAAAAGAAAUGGUUUUAUUUUUCAACUCAGUACAUCGUGGUGGUUUCCUUUUGCUUCUAAAUUC